rnacentral:rRNA from 1 species
AUGAACGCUUGCGGCGUGCCUAAUACAUGCAAGUCGAGCGAACAGAUGAGGAUCUUGCUCCUCUGACGUUAGCGGCGGACGGGUGAGUAACACGUGGAUAACCUACCUAUAAGACUGGGAUAACUUCGGGAAACCGGAUCUAAUACCGGAUAAUAUAUUGAACCGCAUGGUUCAAUAGUGAAAUACGGUUUUUCUGUCACUUAUAGAUGGAUCCGCGCCGCAUUAGCUAGUUGGUAAGGUAACGGCUUACCAAGGCAACGAUGCGUAGCCGACCUGAGAGGGUGAUCGGCCACACUGGAACUGAGACACGGUCCAGACUACUACGGGAGGCAGCAGUAGGGAAUCUUCCGCAAUGGGCGAAAGCCUGACGGAGCAAAGCCGCGUGAGUGAUGAAGGUCUUCGGAUCGUAAAACUCUGUUAUUAGGGAAGAACAAAUGUGUAAGUACCUAUGCACGUAUUGACGGUACCUAAUCAGAAAGCCACGGCUAACUACGUG